rnacentral:rRNA from 1 species
GAUGAACGCUAGCUACAGGCUUAACACAUGCAAGUCGAGGGACCGGCGCACGGGUGAGUAACAAGUAUCCAACCUGCCCUUUACUCGGGGAUAGCCUUUCGAAAGAAAGAUUAAUACCCGAUGUAAAGGAUGGGGAUGCGUUUCAUUAGGUUGUUGGUGAGGUAACGGCUCACCAAGCCGUCGAUGGAUAGGGGUUCUGAGAGGAAGGUCCCCCACAUUGGAGCUGAGACACGGUCCAAACUCCGACGGGAGGCAGCAGUGAGGAAUAUUGUGCAAGCGGCGUUAGCCUGAACCAGCCAAGUAGCGGGAAGGAUGAAGGCUUAUGGGUCGUAAACUUCUUUUAUAUAAGAAUAUGUAUUAGAUGAAUAAGGAUCGGCUAACUCCGUGCCAGCAGCCGCGGUAAUAC